UCUCAUGUGUGUUGCUACUUCAUGUAUUUUUACAUUGCUGUUGGUAUUUGGCUUCGUUGAAUGUUAGUCUUCUGGUUUUCGUCAUUCACACUCUUAGCUCCCGCACCCCUCUUCACGCAAUUUUCUUCAUUAUUUCUGUGCAAAGAGGUCUUAGGUGUUAGCUUGUUGCAAAUAUUUCUUCUACUUCCUGAGACUGUGUGUUCUCC
rnacentral:misc_RNA from 1 species